UUUUGCUAUAAUUUACAGGUUAGACUUUAUUUUUUAUCUCCUACUCGUGGAAACCCUAUCCCUUCUCCUUCAAAGAAGAAUUUUUCUUUUCAGCCCUAAUCUUCAAUACAUCUGCAUCUUGCUCAUGUAAAUUGGGUGACCGACAUUUUCAGGCUUGAGUUUGGAAGGUCGAAUUGCUAAGCAGCGCCCCUGUGACAACAAAUUUCUGUAAUCGUUGUUGAGUGAAAAAUUAAAAACAAAAGAGGUUUUUUCAAGCGAAACAUGAAUUGAAAUUCAAGAACAAAGUUUCAACUCAUUUUUAGAAUGAUCAAUCCUAUGAUAGCCAGAAUCAGCUUCUUCAAUGCAUGUAGCAGCCUGACUUCCUCACAUCUUUUUAUGUUCAGCUUCUGAUCAAGAUAGCAUGUGGUCAUUAAAGAAUGGUGGUCAAAAAGAUUAUAAAAAAAUAAUAUAAACUAAAUUAAAAAGUAUUUAUUUUUAAGUAGAAAAUAAAAGAGGUUGUAACCCACCCUUGUUAUCCCAUCGGACCCAAAACCGUAACCCAGAUUUUCCUUGGCGGUGCUACCAACCACACGGUAAACCACUCAUGUUAUAUUGUUCUAAAACAUUUUUGUUACUUAUGUAAUAGAUAAUCAAAAGAAGAAGUAGAAGUACUGAAAAUAUAUGGCUAUUUUAUGGAUUGGAGAGGAAUUGAAUCAAUCCUUCCCACACAUUAUUUCUCGUCAAUCUAUUAAAUAUUCAAAACAAAUUGUAACUUU